rnacentral:rRNA from 1 species
GACGGAGGGGGCGAGCGUUAUCCGGAUUGACUGGGUGUAAAGGGCGCGUAGGUGGUUUGGCGGGUCUGGCGUUAAAGGCCCCGGCUUAACCGGGGAGAUAUGUCAGAAACUACCAGGCUUCGAGUCUGAAAGAGGAGAGCGGAACUCCUGGUGUAACGGUGAAAUGUGUGGAUAUCAGGAGGAACACCGGUGGCGAAGGCGGCUCUCUAGUUCAAGACUGACACUGAGGCGCGAAAGCUGGGGGAGCAAACAGGAUUAGAUACCCCCGUA